rnacentral:rRNA from 1 species
GCUUACGGCCAUACCACUCUGAGCACGCCCGAUCUCGUCCGAUCUCGGAAGCCAAGCAGGGUCGGGCCUGGUUAGUACUUGGACGGGAGACCGCCUGGGAAUACAGGUGCUGUAAGCU